rnacentral:lncRNA from 1 species
UUUAAGUUUCGUACUAAUAAUUUUUAUAAUUGAAUCACUGACUGUAGCAAGUGACAAGGGUUUGGUGGUUGGUAUCUGAGACCGAAAUUUGAAUCCUAGUUGCUUCACAUUUCUAGCUAAGUUUAUUUAUAAAUAAAAUAAAUGAAUCGGAUAGCGUGCUACUUAUCUUUCCAAAAAUAAAAAAAUUUAUAAUUAAAUCCAAAAC